AAACGACUCUCGACAACGGAUAUCUCGGCUCUCGCAUCGAUGAAGAACGUAGCGAAAUGCGAUACUUGGUGUGAAUUGCAGAAUCCCGUGAACCAUCGAGUCUUUGAACGCAAGUUGCGCCCGAAGCCGUCAGGCUGAGGGCACGUCUGCCUGGGUGUCACGC
rnacentral:rRNA from 1 species